CCAGAGGGGCUGAGGUUGGAUCCCUGUGAACUGACCUGAUGUUACACUUCAAUUUAAACACACACAUACGCGCGCGCGCGCGCGCGCACACACACACACACACACACACACACACACACACAUCCUCCCCCACACACGAAGCCGCUGAUCCUCCGUGGAGAACGGACUUUGUGAUGCCAGGGGGUGCUCCCCCACCCUCCACUGCCCUUUACUCCCCUCCCCCCCGCCCCCAACUCCCCAGGGGCUAGGUCACUCUGGACCUUGCUACUUCCUGUUCCUGGCUGCCGCAGUUCAGAGGCUAUGGAGCUCUGGAAGAAGCUGAGGCAGGCUGGACUGGUGCCCCCAGGGCUGGGCCCACCCCCGCGGGCCCUGAGGGGAGUCCCCCCAGCGGAGAAGGCGGGUCAGACCCUCGCGUCCCCAGGGGCUGGCGCUGGAGGUGCCAGGGAGAGUCUGCUGUGGAUCUGGGAGGAGCUGGGGAACCUCCGCCGAGUGGAUGUCCAGCUGCUGGGCCAGCUGUGCAGCCUGGGACUGGAGAUGGGGGCACUGCGGGAGGAACUGGUGGCCUUCCUGGAAGAGGAGGCAGAGGAGAACACCGAGGAAGAGGAGGAGGAGGACAGAGAGCUGAAAGGGAAACUGGAGGGGGCCUCCAGUCCAGUCCCUGGCCACCACCGCCCCCCUGACUUUGAGAUGACUAUCUGAGGUCCUGCCAGUGUGCUUCCAGUGGACACGUGAAUGAUACGCAAAUUUAUGUUUAUAACUACAAGUCGACCAGUAAGCCAAAAUUUUUCUUAGGAGGCUGUCUGAUGGAAUCAAAGAAGCAUUUUCCAAUUUUGACCAGACAUGAGUGAACCAAAUACAAACCAGACCUCACCAGCUGAUGAAAGCCUAUAGCAGGGGAAGAAAAACAGAAAGCAUAAAGCUCAGAGUGGCUGCUUCCAAUUCCUGCUCAGCCUGUGGUUUUUGUCCAACUAGUCUCACAGGUGGAAUUUCCAAAAUGAAAUACCCAGAUGGAAGCUGAAUGUUCCCCAGAUGGAAUUGAAAGUGUUGCUGAACCACACAAAGAUGCCGGGAUUCUUGGCCUCCAGAGGACAAGAAUUCAAUCCGGGGUCAGAGACAAGGCUUGAUCACUCAGAGUUUUUUGUGUAAUAAAGUUUUAUUAAAGUAUAAAGGAGAUAGAGAAAGCUUCUGACAUAGGCAUCAGAAGGGGGCAGAAAGAGUACCCCCUUGCUAGUGUCAGCAAUGGAAUUAUGUACUCUCUAAUUAGUUGUUAGAGUGAAUCAAAAGAAUGUCGGGAGGUUGUAAAGACCUCACUAGACCUACUCCCAUAAUUUACACCUUAAGAUAACAGGAUUAGCCAGAAGGUUUUUCUAGAGACUGUCCUCAAGCAGG